rnacentral:rRNA from 1 species
UACGUAGGUGGCAAGCGUUGUCCGGAUUUAUUGGGUUUAAAGGGUGCGUAGGCGGCCCUGUAAGUCAGUGGUGAAAUACUCUAGCUUAACUAGAGGGGUGCCAAUGAUACUGCAGGGCUUGAGUACAGAUGAGGUAGGCGGAAUUGACGGUGUAGCGGUGAAAUGCAUAGAUAUCGUCAAGAACACCGAUAGCGAAGGCAGCUUACUGGGCUGUAACUGACGCUGAUGCGCGAAAGCCAGGGGAGCAAACGGG